GUCUGUGGUUUCAUUCCCCAACUUUACCCAUUCGUUCCUUCCUACUCGAUCGCCGGCGAGGUAGCCGCUGCCGUCGUGCGAAGAGAUCAAGCCAACUCGUUCUUGGUAACCAUGGUCCAAGUCCUGCCUGCCGCCGCCGCCGCUGCCGCGAGUGUUAAUUUCCUUCUCGUCAAUCGGAAGUCACUGACUGCCCAUGCCGUGCCGGGUGCCAGACUGCCAGGUCCAAUAAUGGACAGUUCGAGCAGGAGGUUCAGGCCGACGUCACGGCGGCAGGUUUCUUCUAACCCAUAUCAAGAAACCGGACAGUCCCCGUCAGCAAUCUCCUGCGAAGUUUAGGUACUGGGUUUUACUUUGGGGAGACUCUGUGUUGGGAAAUGGCCAGUUGGGCAUGCGUGAUUGGACCGCUGGGGUCGUGCCCUGCGUACCCGCACGACCAAUUGACAGGGGUUUCACAAGAACAUGUCAGGAAAAAGGGAAAAGAAAUAAUGCUAGCCAAAGUACUGUUCUUUAACAGCCAGGUGUUUGUGUUUUGUUUAAUUCAGUACUCCAACAAAGUUGCAGUGUAGUACUGCCAAAUAAGUGAAACACCAAACGUUUCUGGAGUUAAUCAAUUGGAGCUAUUUCCUCCAGCUAAUCAAUGAGACAUGCAGUUAGACAGAGACUAGCCAACAAGAGGGUGGGGGGUCAACAAAUCCCCCCAAAACGAAAGCUAAACCCGCUGCCCUUCAGGCGUCGGAGCUCCCAAAUUCCAAGCCUCCCACCUGUAAUCUUGUGGUGUUUUUCCUUGACCCCGGCGACCCUUUCCCUUGCCUUUCCAAGCAAGCACUGCCUGAUCGCUUCGUUCCGACCCCACCACACCCGCUUGACGAACUCCACCACACUCCAGUCC
rnacentral:lncRNA from 1 species